UGAAAACACGCCCCCUUGAGGUUAUCCGA
rnacentral:piRNA from 1 species